AGGAUAAUAGUUAAUUUUAAUAUUUAGGUUGCAUCUAAAAGAAAUUGUAUUUAAACAAUUUAUCUUU
rnacentral:tRNA from 1 species